AUACCUUUCUCGGCCUUUUGGCUAAGAUCAAGUGUAGUAUAUGUUCUUAUCAGUUUAAUAUCUGAUACGUGGGCCAUCGGCCCACAUGAUAUUAAAUUUAUUUUUAUGGGGGGAGGAACCAUCACAGUAGCUUGCUACUGGGGUUCCUCGCGCGUCGCCCAAGCGUUGCACUAUUGCUGGGGCCUGGCGCACCCCAC